GGGGAUAUAGCUCAGUGGUAGAGCGCUCGCUUCGCAUGUGAGAGGCCUCGGGUUCGAUCCCCGAUAUCUCCA
rfam:Daphnia pulex DAPPTscaffold_113_Cont4807, whole genome shotgun sequence.